AUGGGGGCCAGCAGUUCAGCCAAAGAUGAGUUUAGAUGAAAUGCCAGAUAGAUGUCAAUUCUGAAGCGCAGAGAUCUGGACUGCAGGUAAGAAUGAAAUCGCUGGUGUGUAGAUGGUGUUUACUACUGUGACAUGGUUAAAUCUAGAAAAUAAGGGUAGAGAAGAAAUGGGGCUAGUACAGUUAGAAACAAAGGCACUGAGUGAGUCACUCUCUUUCCCCAUCUAACCCUAAACACCACCCAAUAGUUAUUCCUGCUUCCAUCAUCCUGAGAGAUUAAAUAAAUAAAUAAAUAAAAGCCUGAAUUGAUGAGAUCACAGGCACCAGAGCACUGGCACCAUGGGAGAUUCAGUGGGAGGCAUCAGAAAGCAGAGAUAUCUAUCUUUUAAAUUCUGAAAACUUGAGUUAUCAGCCCCUUUUCUCCUUUUUCCUGUUGCUGUUGCUACCUUUCCCAUGACCUUCAAUAAACAUAGCUCCUUACUACUUGGCAAUUCUUUCUUCACUGUACACAAGCACUAUUAUUGGUCCAUUCAACUGUAACAUCUGGCAAGCCAGGCAGGAGGACAUCAAACCUCGGAAGACCUCACUGGACAAAGAGUGAAGGGACAUUAUUGUACAGCAGUCCAUGACCUCACCAGACAUUGGAAGGAUCAGCAGCUCAGACCUUCGGAGAUAGCAGAAGUGAGCAACCAGCAACCCAGGCAGCAAGGAAGAAAUUCAGAUAAUUUAGAAACAUGUACCUGAGGUCCUGAGCAGAGCAAAGGGAACAACCAAUGAAGGUGAACUCAACCAACUACUCCAUGAUGUGGCAUGGGAAAUAUCCUGCAGAUCCCGCCAACCUCACCAUUAGGCUGAAUCCUAAUGUAUCCUUAAAAACCAAAAACAAUUUAAUCCUGAGAAUCUGAGGGAAAACCCCACAUUUAUUUUCUGAUGCAAUGCUGUUUGGAUUCAGUAUGAACUAGGAAAUGGUGAGAGAUGGAUACAGAAUGGCAGUCUAAAUUACUAUUCUUCUAGGUGAGCUGGUCCCAGCACCCGGAAGGAAGCUCCCCUGCUGUCAUCCCAAGCUCCUAGGGCACAGAAGUUGAGCCGCGUGGGCGCCAGAAGCCCCCCCCCCCCCCGCAGAAAUGAG
ensembl:lncRNA